rnacentral:rRNA from 1 species
AAAACGGAGAGUUUGAUCCUGGCUCAGGAUGAACGCUGGCGGUAUGCUUAACACAUGCAAGUCGAACGGUGUCUUCGGACACAGUGGCGGACGGGUGAGUAACGCGU